GUAGGUGAAGUGGUUUACCCAUGGAGCUGAAAUCAGUCGAAGAUACCAGCUGGCUGCAACUGUUUAUUAAAAACACAGCACUGUGCAAACACGAAAGUGGACGUAUACGGUGUGACGCCUGCCCGGUGCCGGAAGGUUAAUUGAUGGGGUUAUCCGUAAGGAGAAGCUCUUGAUCGAAGCCCCGGUAAACGGCGGCCGUAACUAUAACGGUCCUAAGGUAGCGAAAUUCCUUGUCGGGUAAGUUCCGACCUGCACGAAUGGCGUAAUGAUGGCCAGGCUGUCUCCACCCGAGACUCAGUGAAAUUGAACUCGCUGUGAAGAUGCAGUGUACCCGCGGCAAGACGGAAAGACCCCGUGAACCUUUACUAUAGCUUGACACUGAACACUGGUCCUUGAUGUGUAGGAUAGGUGGGAGGCUUUGAAGUGUGGACGCCAGUCUGCAUGGAGCCAUCCUUGAAAUACCACCCUUUAAUGGCUGGUGUUCUAACGUGGGCCCCUAAUCGGGGUUGCGGACAGUGUCUGGUGGGUAGUUUGACUGGGGCGGUCUCCUCCUAAAGAGUAACGGAGGAGCACGAAGGUCAGCUAAUCCUGGUCGGACAUCAGGAGGUUAGUGCAAUGGCAUAAGCUGGCUUGACUGCGAGCGUGACGGCGCGAGCAGGUGCGAAAGCAGGUCAUAGUGAUCCGGUGGUUCUGAAUGGAAGGGCCAUCGCUCAACGGAUAAAAGGUACUCCGGGGAUAACAGGCUGAUACCGCCCAAGAGUUCAUAUCGACGGCGGUGUUUGGCACCUCGAUGUCGGCUCAUCACAUCCUGGGGCUGAAGUAGGUCCCAAGGGUAUGGCUGUUCGCCAUUUAAAGUGGUACGCGAGCUGGGUUUAGAACGUCGUGAGACAGUUCGGUCCCUAUCUGCCGUGGGCGCUGGAGAAUUGAGGGGGGCUGCUCCUAGUACGAGAGGACCGGAGUGGACGCAUCACUGGUGUUCGGGUUGUCAUGCCAAUGGCAUUGCCCGGUAGCUAAAUGCGGAAGAGAUAAGUGCUGAAAGCAUCUAAGCACGAAACUUGCCCCGAGAUGAGUUCUCCCUGACUCCUUGAGAGUCCUGAAGGAACGUUGAAGACGACGACGUUGAUAGGCCGGGUGUGUAAGCGCAGCGAUGCGUUGAGCUAACCGGUACUAAUGAACCGUGAGGCUUAACCUU
rnacentral:rRNA from 1 species